rnacentral:sRNA from 1 species
CUUUAGCCCUGAUUGCAGUGUAAUCCUUUUUGCUGCAGGCGAAUAAGAUUUUUAAACGGAAAGCAGGAAUAGCU